rnacentral:lncRNA from 1 species
AAGAAAUAGAAAAGAGAAAGUAGGCAUAAAUGGGCAUUUCUCACCAUGGAGAGUUGUUACAAGCAGAGUCCACCAAGGUUUUGUUCUGGUACCAGUAUCUUUAAACAUAGUGAUCUCUGAUGGAGUCAGGUAUGCCCAGUGGAAUAGCUAAGUUUGCUAAUGACACCAAAUUGGCCAGAGUGGUAAAAACAAACAUGAUUUUGAACAGCUCCAGUGGGAUCUCUGCACAUUGAGGGACUGGGCAUCAAAAUGGCAAAUGCACUUCAAUGAGACCAAGUGUAAAGUGAUGGGGGUUGGAGCUGAAAAUCCUAACUUUUUAAAUAUUCUAGGGGAAUCUAAGCUGCUGGUUCUGCAAGGGUUGCUGGGAGUCUGAGUCCAGGAGGGGAGAUUGGAGGCGACAGUCCUUUAAAGCUCAUGGGGAAGGGUCCCAGGCUAUAGCCUAGUGGUCUCCUUUUUCUAAAAGGUUUGCCACCCUCCUCUGAGGGCGAAGAGUUUUCUGUGAAGAUCAUUGCCGGGACUCUCAAGGGGAUGUUCCUGCCCCCCCCUCCAGUUAUAGUGCAAGGUAGACUCUGUCUGACUUUGGGGGCUCCAGAGUUUAGCCUCCCNUAGAAUGCUGUAGCGCCUGGUAGAGACCUAAAGGGUUAAAAGCGGAGAGUGCUCCUGUUUCCUAGAGAGGCAUCAUGGGUUAAUGGCAUAGUCGUAUUUCCUAGAGAGGCACUGAAGAUGCAGGGGGCUGCUUCCAGCUCAUCCCCUCCUUCCUCCUUUCCUAAUCUAAUUUCUUCCCUCCCUGCCUGGCCGGGAAGUUGGGAGCACAAAGGGCCCUUUGGGUGCGGGAGAAAGCGGGCAAGAGGGAAGAUUUUCAGGCAGCAAAAAGGACCUGGUUUUUCCUUCCAGGCACCCUCCGGUUUGUGAUGGAGCAGAAAUGGGCACUGAGUACCUCCAGCAUCAGGUAAGAGAAAUAUCAUUGCAAACCCAUUUAAGGACUGGGCUGGAGGAGUGACUUUGUCUCCUUCACAGCAAUUUAGUUUUUUUCUGGAUUCUGGCAAAACUGCCCCCAUGCAAGGGGGCAAAAAAAACUGUUGCCAAAAAGAAAAAAAAUCUCCAAUCCCUUUACUGGACAUUUCCUUUGAGAUUUCCC